UCUAAAUCCAUAUAAUAUAAUUUUAGCUACUGGUACAUAAUCAUGAUGAAUAAUUUCUGAUUUCAUUCUAAAAAAACAUAUAAAUAGUUACAAAUGAUAAUAAACAACGAGAUGAUGGUCAAGCAAACGAUUAGACAAUCAUAACAAGCUGCAAAUAAGCCAAAAUAAUGAAGAAACCAAAUAACUACUGAACCAAACAAACAACACAUCACUAUCGAUUAUUUUUUGCAAAAUCACGGAUACUUCAUAAUUUACCAGAUGACAAUUUAAAUAUAAACAAAGAAUUAGCCGAAACUGACAUCGAAACAUACAUAAGAUUGUUAUCAAAGAAUAUACACACUCUGAUCUAAAACAUUUGGAGUGAGCAAGACAAAAUAAGAUGCCACAUUUUAAUAUAAAACUAUGGAUUUUAUGAUCAAAAUCGAUAAGAAACUCCUUGAACACAAAAGAUGUGAGACCCCAGCCGGCCGUUAUACAAGUUUCCACAAUCUCGUCUAUUCGUGAAGAGCGAGAAGCCAAAGGCAAUACUUGAAUCCUACCAAAAAUUUUAGGCAGAUUAUUAGUUAGUUUCAAUAGGGCGAGGUCGUGAUCGGACUCUUCAG